CCAUUGUUCUUCCUUUCUCCCCCUAUCUUCCUCUCUCUCUCUCUCUCUCUCUCUCUCUCUGCCAGCGGCAGUAGUUUUUCUCUCCCUCUUUCUCGGUCUCCGUUUCUACAAAAGGAUUGAUUCUAUCCCUACGAUUAAGGUACAUGGGGUGUGCUUUAGGGAAAUCUUGACUUCCAAAUAAUGUUCCUUGUGGUUCUUUCAGUGAAUGGUGAUCUAUCAAUAUCUUUGGAUUCAGUUAAGCGCUAAAUCCAAGUAUAUACGAGUAUGAUGAACUACCAUAUCCAGUAAUUUUGGAUUCAGUUAAACGUUGAACCCACAUGCAUGGACAUGUUUUUCCUCUAAUAAAGUUAGAGAUAUUUUCUCUAUGAUAAAGUUAGAAAUAUUUUCCCUCUAAUAAGUUUGUCUCUUUGACGUAUAAGAGGAUUGAAUGUUAUAAGCAAAAAAGGACCUUUUAGUCCUUUUCUCAAUAAAAAGGUAAGUAUAGGCUAUAAAGACAUAUUGGAUCCUCAGAAACCUGACUCUCAAUCUCCAUUCUUCAUGACAUAUUUAUUUUCAAGAGUUUCUCUAAAAAUUAUUAUUACAUUUUCUCUAAAAAAAAUCUUACUUGAGCAUCAAAGUGUCCUCAAAUUUAUAAAAUGAGACCUUUUAAAGAUAUCAAACACCAAUCACCCGCUACCUUGACAAUGAAAGAUGAAUUAAAUUACUAGAACCAUGAGAUCAACAGAAUAUCAAACACAUAAGACCUGUUUCCCAAGCUAUUUUGAUUUUUUAGGCAUCAUCAAUGACAUCAAGUGGAAAGGGGAUGAAUAUAUAUAAUUUGAUAACUUAGUGAUCUUAAAUUUAAAGAUUACUUAUAUAAUUUUCAUGUUAAUAUUUUCAUAGACACGAGUAAUAUUUUUAUAUAGAAUUCUUAUGCGAGUUAAUUUAGUGUAUAUUUUAUUUAACUAGCAUAUAUAUAUUAGUUCUAGGUAUCUAUUAUACAUCAACUUAUAAAAACAAUUGUUUCCUUUCAUAAAAAAAAAAAGAAUCUAAUAUUUACUAAUUUCCGCAAUUCUAAUUAAUAUUCAGUUUUAAUAUAACAUUGACUAGUAAUAAUGCUUUGAUGCAAUAUGAGUCCUUAUUAAUUAUAAUCAUUUUAUGACUUUUUUUGUAAAAUAUUUUUUUUCUCAAUGACUUUAUCUUUAAUUUAGACUCAUUAACCAAACUUGAAUGAUUAUUAAAGAUAAAAAAAUGUUUUUAUUGAUAAUAAAAUAUAUGUUUUGCAUGAACAAAGUUAGUGCAUCUUGUAACCACACACUUGUAGCCACAUGAUUGGCUACAUGGUAUACACACUAACAAGUUAUUUGAAAUUGGAUUUAUCACUGGCUCAAAAUGAAGAUCCCUAUAGGCUAGGAUUCUUUUUCCUAGUGUCUGACCUUUGAUGCUAAGGGAGUAACACAGAUUGAGGUCUUGUCUUCGUUGAUGCAAAGGAAGAUAUAACUAUAACACUCUUAUUUGUAAGGAUGAAGAGGAUUCCAACAUACUUCUUGAAAGGAAAAUCAUGGUAGGAGGAAUUUAAGUAGGCUAUCCCCUAUAUAGAUAGAGUCUGGGUUAUGAUUUGAUUUUAGAGGGUGUUUGACUUAGAGAUAGCUUGUGUUCUUUUGAGUAAAAAGCAUGUUUUUAUAGCUUUUAGAGAUGUGGUGUGUGCUUAAAAGGUAUUGUACCUUUGACAAAAAGCCACCACACCUCUAAGCCAAACACUAAAUCUUGGAAAAUAGGCAGUUUCCUAAGAUUUUUCCCUUUUCUUAUAAAAGGUUAAUCUUCAACUCUUGCUUGACUUUCAUCUAAUUCCUUAUAUAUGUGACUUGGUACAUAAGGUUCUAAAGCAACUACUUUACCCUUAGCAUGUUUUGGCUGGCUUUUUAGACUAUAAUGGAUUGGAUACCUGCAUAUCCAGCAUAGCAGAAAUGCUAUAUGUUCUCUAUACGAGAAGUAAGUUUGUGUUUUCUUUCAGUCUCCUCAUUAGUGAGCUGACUUCAUGCGCACCUAGUACUAAAUCUUCAAAGGGAUUUGUUAAAAUUUAUGUAAAAGAACGAAGCUUCUCACCUGCUAGGUGUAGGCCUUUAAUUAAGGCCAAAUCACGCAAAUUGAUGGUUUGCAUUCUAUACAUGAAUAGAAAGGCAUUGCUAGAUUUCAACCAAAAGAGGGAGAAUAUGACUUUGGAUAGCUAUAUGAUAUACCAUAUCUUUUGACAUUUCUAUUGUUCAUCAAAACUUUGAUGCACUACCUAACCAUAUGAUAUUAUCUACAAGAAAAACGCUGUCAUAUUAGGAUCGAUUUCUUCUAAUUAUUGAUGUUUAUGUGGUCUUUUUACAAAGGAAGUCUUUCCCUUUUGAUAUCCAGAGCAAAGUGACGAUCUUCUUCUUCUUGUAGUGCAUUUUCAUAAAUUGGGUUAGGGCACUAUCCAUUUGUGUUUCUUGAUGCAGUACUAAUUGUGGACAUGCAAUAUUCAUUAUGCACAAUUCUAGAAGCGGGUGCCAAGUUUGGAUUUUAGUGAACCAGAGCUUGAGGUUUUCAUUUUGGUGUUUUUGAGAAGAAGGAGGCUUAGGGGUCUUAAUUCUUUUCUUGUUCUGAAAAAAUAUUUGAGUUUUUUAAAGAAGAAUUAGGGUUUCAAAUUGAGGAGUUAAUAUUGAAAUUUUGAAGCAAAUAACAGAAUUCUAAA